AAGGAGAUGGCUACCCACUCCAGUAAUCUUGCCUGGAGAAUUCCAUGGACAGAGGAGCCUGUCUCUAGGUUGAGAACUCCAAGCAGUAAGAGACACAGGAUAAGAAUGGGAAAGAUGGAGCCUUUUUGAGAGUCUGCUGCUCUGCUAAAUGCCAUUUUGAAGGGAAAGAAGAAGUCGAAUGGAUAUUUCCAGUCCAUUCUGGGUUGGCCUCUUGGAGGCUCUGGCUUCUGGGUAAUGUCCACAAAGGUCACCACAGUUGUCAAAGGUACUUCUGUUUCGGGAGGGGAAUCCUGCAGGAAGAAUGUCCAUGACAGGUCAGUGCUUGGCACCCAUUCAAAUAGCCCUCCAAUUUGAAUGUUAUUAUUACUUCCCUGAAUAAAGACCCAUAACAAA